rnacentral:rRNA from 1 species
UCUUUUUAUGUUGACCUCGGAUCAGGUAGGGAUACCCGCUGAACUUAAGCAUAUCAAUAA